rnacentral:sRNA from 1 species
GCUGGGCGUAGUGAUGCAUGCCUGUCAUCCCAGCAUCUUGGGAGGCUGAGGCAGGAGGAUCGCAAGUUCUCAGCCAGCCUCAGCGUGACUGCGAGGCCCUAAGCAACUCAGUGAGACCCUGUCUCAG